AUUGUAUUUGUACCCAGCCACCUAGAAUAUGUGGAAAUAAAAAGUUUCUUUGUAUUUCAUCACUUCCUGCAUCCUGGAUUGAUUGAAAUAACCAAGACUGAGGACCACAGAGGAAUUUCAGCUGGGAGUUCAACUUUACUAACACUGAAUUGAUAUGCUGUUAGUCUGAGCCAGCUUUUAAAAGUGGCUCAUGACCAUGUGAGUUUUAC